rnacentral:rRNA from 1 species
AUAUUGGGCAAUGGGCGCAAGCCUGACCCAGCAACGCCGCGUGAAGGAAGAAGGCUUUCGGGUUGUAAACUUCUUUUCUCAGGGACGAAGCAAGUGACGGUACCUGAGGAAUAAGCCACGGCUAACUACGUGCCAGCAGCCGCGGUAAUACGUAGGUGGCGAGCGUUAUCCGGAUUUACUGGGUGUAAAGGGCGUGUAGGCGGGAUUGCAAGUCAGACGUGAAAACUAUGGGCUCAACCCAUAGCCUGCGUUUGAAACUGUAGUUCUUGAGUGCUGGAGAGGCAAUCGGAAUUCCGUGUGUAGCGGUGAAAUGCGUAGAUAUACGGAGGAACACCAGUGGCGAAGGCGGAUUGCUGGACAGUAACUGACGCUGAGGCGCGAAAGCGUGGGGAGCAAACAG